CCGGCGUUUUACGUUUCCGCAAAUUGGCAUUACUUUUCCGCGAAAAAAAGAUGACGUUUCCGGAAAAAAAGUUUACGUUUCCGCAAAAAAAUAUCUUUCUUUUCCGGAAAAAAAGUAACUAUUCCGGAAAAAAUAAAUUAUUACUUUUCCGCAAAUAAUUAAGGAAUACCUAUUGAUCGAAAGCAAAGCUAUAAUAAAAAAUAAAUAUGUAUUUAGUUAAAGGUCAUCAUAACAUGUAAGUAAAAUACAUCAUUAAAAUGUAUGAAAACGUAUGUUCAAAAAGAUCUUGAUAUUGAGGUCAUAAGUCAGUUCUGGCAGAAUAUUUGUAGCCAACACGUCGUAAAAAGUCCAUAUAAGCACAUUCACCGUUUACAAAUUUUGUAUUUUGUUCAGGAAAGAAGGCCAUCUUCACCUUUUCAUAUUUCCGAACGGGUGCUUUUACAGU
rnacentral:lncRNA from 1 species